rnacentral:rRNA from 1 species
CAGUCGCCGCGGUAAUGCGAGGGGUCCUAGCGUUGCUCGGAAUCAUUGGGCGUAAAGCGGAUGUAGGCGGACAGCCAAGUCAGAUGUGAAAGCCCCGGGCUUAACCUGGGAAUUGCAUUUCAUGCUGGGUCGCUAGAGUACUUUAGGGAGGGGUAGAAUUCCACGUGUAGCGGUGAAAUGCGUAGAGAUGUGGAGGAAUACCGAAGGCGAAGGCAGCCCCUUGGGAAUGUACUGACGCUCAUGUGCGAAAGCGUGGGGAGCAAACAGGAUUAGAGACCCCCGUAGUCCCUGUCUCUUAUAC